CGUUGUUUCUUGGUGUAUCUCAUUUUUGUAGACACUUCUCCCAUUCUGUCUUGUUUCUUUUAGUGCCUCCAGGACUCUGUCAUCGUUAUAUUACUAGUUAGUACUCCCUCCAAUCCUAAAUUGUUGUCUAAAUAUUACAUGUAUCUAGAUGCUUUUUAAGAAGAAAUAAGUCCAUUUUACCCCCCUCAACUAAUCGAUAAGUCCAAAAAACACCCUAAACUAUGAAACCGGGUAUUUAACCCCCCCGAACUAUCAAAACCGGGCACCCGACCCCCCUGUGCCUGUUUCCUGCUGGUCUGGGCGGUUUUGACCAUGUUGACCACCACGCUGGCAACAAGUGUCUGUCCCGAGCCCUCCUAACCCCGCGCCUAGACCUCUAUCUCUCUUCUCAGAUUCCAAAUCGGGAACCCUAGCUCUGGCGUCGGCAGGGGCUGGACGACGCAGGCCUUGCGGAGGCGGACAUUGGGCGUUGGGGCUGCUGCUAAUCGACUGCUGGAACCUGCGCCCGCCCCUCUUCUUCCUCCCCGACGCCGGCGGCUGCUGCUCGAGCAAUGGAAGAUGACCUAGACUGCAACUAGAAUUGCAAACAGAUUUGAGAAGAUGAUUAAGGCUAAAAAUCAGAGGGAUACCAGCGGAGGAAAAGAGAAGGAAAACCGAAUCGAAUAACGGCUAACUCUGGUCGCGGGAGCUAAAGAACAGAAGAGUGAGAGAAAAGACAGACGGGAGAGAGAAGUCUGGGCAGAUGGGCUCGGGACAGCCACUUGCCAGCCUGGCAUGCCAGCAUGGCGGUCAACAUGGUCAAAACCGCCCAGACCAGCAGGAAACAGGCACAGGGGGGUUGGGUGCCUGGUUUUGAUAGUUCGGGGGGGUUAAAUACCCGGUUUCAUAGUUUAGGGUGUUUUUUGGACUUCUCGAGUAGUUGAGGGGGGUAAAAUGGACUUAUUUCUUUUAAGAAUAGAUACAUCCAUAUUUGGACAAAUUUGAGUCAAGAAUUUAGGAUCAGAGGGAGUACCUACCAGUGCGGUCGUUCCUAAAUUGCCUACUUGGUAAUGUAUUAUCACAGAGGCCGAAUACUAAUUUAUAAGGUGAAUAAGUACAAUCGAAAGAUUCCUUUUGAGGUAUUAA